GUUGUUUCAUUUAUUUUAAUAAGUUGAAAUUUAAAAAAAUGAUUGAGAAAAGACUAAUUUUUUAUCAAAUCUUUAUUAUUCAAAAUCAUUAAUUGUCAUAUAUACUUUAGUCGCAUUAGGUAAUUCUGUGAUUUUUAUUUAAGAAAAAUAUUUAUGAUUAAUUUUUUUUUUUUAGGUAUAACCAAAACUUCAUUUUUAGUUUACUUCAAUUAACCUUAUUGUAAAAUAAAUAAGAAAAUAUAUUAUUGCGACGCAAGAGGGUCGAACACGGAACCGGCCACUAUAUAUUAUAAGCACUUAUAGCACCAAUAAUCUUAUCACUAAGUUGCCGAAUAAAAAUUUGUACGUUUGUCUGCUGGAAGCGACUGCGUGAUUGGCUUGGCCCAAGGACCCCGGCUAUGCCUGUAUCAAGAAUUGGAUUAAAUACCGGUUAUGUUAUUAGAAACCGGUUCACUAGAUAUUUAGACAAGUACUCUACAAAUGUUCGUUCAUCUCUUAAGAAGAAGUUUGUUACAUUCAUCUCAUCGUCUUCUUCCUUGAGCUCGAGCUCAGAAUCUUCGAGCUCUAGUAUCAGGCUUCCUCAAUCUCCCAGCUCCUGGUGAUUUCCCGGCUUCUCCCUUCCGCGACGAGCUUCUUCGAUUUAAACCUGUCGAAGGUUUCUCACUCCCGAUUGAGAAUCUGAGUAUCGAAGCUGCGUUGUUGAAUGAAGUUCAUCUACGACUAUGGAGCUUUCGGAAUGGAUUACUCAUGCCGCGGAGACGAGCUGAAGUUUAUCCUUGGCCGUGAUGAUCCUCCGUUACUGGAGUUGUAGAUACCUGCUGUUGAGAUCUAUGCCUCUACACAGACAUCAAGUUACCAUUUGUUCAAGCACUUAUGCACUUAGAUAGCUUGGAAUGCAAAACUCAGUAGCAUGAAGUUGAUGAUGAUAAGAGAUAUGAUGCAAGACAAGGAUGUAAAAGGGAGCACACUUUAGUUGUUUACCCUGAGUUCGGCCUCAUUCGAGGUACCUACAUCUCAGGGGUAGGCAAGCUACCAAUCCACUAGAUAAAGAGGUUACAAGCUUUGUCUCUCACCCUCUCAUGUGAAUACAAAGCUAUCUCUCAAACCCCUGUUUCCCCUCUCUCUAGUUUCUCUACUACCAAGCAAUUAUGUGCUUGUAGUACUCUCAGCCUAGGUGUUUAUACA